ACGCUAGCUACAGGCUUAACACAUGCAAGUCGAGGGGAAACGGCAUUGAGCGCUUGCACUUUUUGGACGUCGACCGGCGCACGGGUGAGUAACGCGUAUCCAGCCUUCCCAUGACUAAGGGAUAACCUGCCGAAAGGCAGACUAAUACCUUAUGGUCUUCACUGACGGCAUCAGAUGUGAAGUAAAGAUUUAUCGGUUAUGGAUGGGGAUGCGUCUGAUUAGCUUGUUGGCGGGGUAACGGCCCACCAAGGCAACGAUCAGUAGGGGUUCUGAGAGGAAGGUCCCCCACAUUGGAACUGAGACACGGUCCAAACUCCUACGGGAGGCAGCAGUGAGGAAUAUUGGUCAAUGGGCGAGAGCCUGAACCAGCCAAGUAGCGUGCAGGAUGACGGCCCUAUGGGUUGUAAACUGCUUUUGUAUGGGGAUAAAGUCAGUCACGUGUGAUUGUUUGCAGGUACCAUACGAAUAAGGACCGGCUAAUUCCGUGCCAGCAGCCGCGGUAAUACGGAAGGUCCGGGCGUUAUCCGGAUUUAUUGGGUUUAAAGGGAGCGUAGGCUGGAGAUUAAGUGUGUUGUGAAAUGUAGACGCUCAACGUCUGACUUGCAGCGCAUACUGGUUUCCUUGAGUACGCACAACGUUGGCGGAAUUCGUCGUGUAGCGGUGAAAUGCUUAGAUAUGACGAAGAACUCCGAUUGCGAAGGCAGCUGACGGGAGCGCAACUGACGCUGAAGCUCGAAGGUGCGGGUAUCGAACAGGAUUAGAUACCCUGGUAGUCCGCACAGUAAACGAUGGAUGCCCGCUGUUGGUACCUGGUAUCAGCGGCUAAGCGAAAGCAUUAAGCAUCCCACCUGGGGAGUACGCCGGCAACGGUGAAACUCAAAGGAAUUGACGGGGGCCCGCACAAGCGGAGGAACAUGUG
rnacentral:rRNA from 1 species